UACAGAGGGUGCGAGCGUUAAUCGGAAUUACUGGGCGUAAAGCGCGCGUAGGCGGCUUUGCAAGUCGAGUGUGAAAUCCCCAGGCUUAACCUGGGAACUGCAUUCGAGACUGCAUAGCUAGAGUAUGGGAGAGGGAAGUGGAAUUUCAGGUGUAGCGGUGAAAUGCGUAGAUAUCAGGAGGAACACCAGCGGCGAAGGCGGCAUCCUGGACUGGUCCUGACACUCAGGAGCGAAAGCGUGGGGAGCGAUCCGG
rnacentral:rRNA from 1 species